CCAACAGGGAUUGCCUUAGUAGCGGCGAGUGAAGCGGCAAUAGCUCAAAUUUGAAAUCUGGCACUUUCAGUGUCCGAGUUGUAAUUUGAAGAAGGUAUCUUUGGGUCUAGCUCUUGUCUAUGUUUCUUGGAACAGAACGUCACAGAGGGUGAGAAUCCCGUGCGAUGAGAUGUCUAGAUCUAUGUAAAGUUCCUUCGAAGAGUCGAGUUGUUUGGGAAUGCAGCUCUAAGUGGGUGGUAAAUUCCAUCUAAAGCUAAAUAUUGGCGAGAGACCGAUAGCGAACAAGUACAGUGAUGGAAAGAUGAAAAGAACUUUGAAAAGAGAGUGAAAAAGUACGUGAAAUUGUUGAAAGGGAAGGGCUUGAGAUCAGACUUGGUAUUUUGUAUGUUACUCUCUCGGGGGUGGCCUCUACAGUUUACCGGGCCAGCAUCAGUUUGAGCGGUAGGAGAAUUGCGUAGGAAUGUGGCUCGGCCUCGGUCGAGUGUUAUAGCCUUCGUCGAUACUGCCAGCUUAGACUGAGGACUGCGGCUUCGGCCUAGGAUGUUGGCAUAAUGAUCUUAAGUCGCCCGUCUUGAAACACGGACCUCCUGUGUGAGGGGUCCCCCCCUA
rnacentral:rRNA from 1 species